AUUGCUACAUCAUGCAGCUAGCCUGGGCUCUGCUUUGCUUGUGUCAGUCAGCUCUGAAGAAGUCUCUGUCCUGUAAUUUAGACUGUAUGCCAUUAAGUGGGAUUAGUUCAGGGAAAUUCACAGGAAUAACAAAAGACAGAAAACAUGAGGAUGAUGGGCCCCACCCCAGGACGGAAAAUGUGUGGAAACAUCAAGGGAAUAAAAGUGUGUCAGGUAACAGA
rnacentral:lncRNA from 1 species